rnacentral:rRNA from 11 species
AAAUAAGUAAAUACUUUUAAAGCACCAGAUCCCAUCUGAUCUUGGAAGCCAAGCAGCGUCAGCCCUGACUGAUACUUGGAUGGGAGACAACCAACAAAUAUCAAAUGCUGCCAGCUGUAUUUC